ensembl:antisense 4930442L01Rik RIKEN cDNA 4930442L01 gene
AUUGUGACGUAGCCUUUAAGACGUGGGAGCAUUUAACUUUCCCAACAGCAAGAACUAGGUCCCACCAUACUCAGAAAUAUGAGAGCAUUUAACCAAGAUGUGAGCAGAGAGGUCCGUUUCCACAUUCAGACAACCUGACAGAGAUUCCAAGUGCCUCAGCCUCCUCUCCCAAGGAGUUCCAGCUCCUUUCCCUCCACACCAACUUCCUUCCCCCCGCCCCCCAAACAUCUAAGCAUCUAUUUUGAACCAGGAUCUGUCCUAAAAAACUUGGGAACACAACAAGUAACAGAGGCAAGAACCCUACGCUCUUGAAACUUAACACACGGAAAGAAGACAAAGAUUUCUGAUGACAGAUGCUAUGGAGUGCUAUGACAUCAUGACAAGAUGGAGGGAGGCUCCACCUAGGAAAUCCUCCUCAGAUGGAAACAUUCGAAUUCGUCCUCAAAUCGCAAGGGGCACACCCUUCAAAGCACAGACCCACCUUAUACAUGGAAGGCCCUUAGUGAACAUCAUGUCUCAACUCCUUUUAGUUGCUGGUGAGAAAAUAAAGGCUCAGUGACACCAAAAGACUAGCACAGGGUCUCCUAAAUGUGUGGGUGCCACCUCCCACUACCCUAGGCCACAUUUGGAUUUAAUCAUUUGAAGAGUGAGCAGCUUAGAUUUGUACUUUCAGUCUCCUCAAACACACUCACAUGUAUAAUUCUAUUUCUAGAACAACCUUUGGGAAAUGGUGUUUGGCUUUCCUUCAACGGAUAACAAAAUUGAGAUGAGGCAUAGAUCUAAUAAGUGAACCAAGACCUUCCUUAGGCAUUGGUUUCCCAGACCUGUACCCUCUCCCUAGCUGCCUAGGAACACAAGAUAGUAUCAACAAGUCCAUAUGGCAGAGACCUUACCAGAGUCAAAGAUGAGAACAAUUUGCUUGGCCAUAACCCACAGAUUCAACGUCCCUGAGUUGUCUGUACAUGAAAGAACUUGUGGUUCUAUGUGACUAGACAAUGGUGACCUGAGGCAGCAAGGGCCCUGUGACUUACGGAUACAGGAUGGUGCCUUCUACACCAAGGCCACCUGAGAGUCUUCAUACCCAGCCCAGGAGUCUCCAGAACCGAUGGACCCUUAGGGAAAGGCCCCAAUGACGAGAAAUGAGUUCCUUCCAAGCUUGCCUACACACAGAAGCAUCUGGGAGAAUUCAAGGCAUUUCAGGUUCACACAAGAUAGAGAUUGAGAGAUUCUCCCAAAGGGAGACUAGAAGACUUGAAUUUGCACCCAGUCAACCCAGCAAUCCGUGGCUUUCCUCGUGGCUAACACUGUCUUGGGAAACAGAAGAGGCACCGGUAGAAGUUAGAUUCGGCUGUAUGUUUUAAGGGCUGGCUGCCUUUGGAAGAGUCUUCCCUUAUACCCUAAAUGCUUGGAUAGUAAAGUCUCAGAAGAAAAUUCCCCGUGGCCUGGGACUUCUGUGGUCUCUGUCCCUUGGCUGUGCAUCUCCAUACAGCACCCCCACCUCUUCCACCCCAUCGUAUAUAUACGACACCCCUGGGAAGCGAGCAGCCCACCAAUGCCUUCAUGAAGUAGAGCCUGCACAUCUCCAGUAAAAAGAACUGUGACACCCCUGGAAGGCCAUCCUCACCCCCACUUAACCUGUGCUCCUGCCACCACAGAGGCCUCAACCCCCCCACAGCCACUUGCCAGCAAAAAGAGAAGGGAGAAGUGGCCCCAGCCCAGGCAGCAGGUCGCAGACCGCUCUUCUUACCUGUGGCGAAGGAUCCGCUCCGCACUGGAAAUUCUCCCGGCUGUGAACACUACUAGUCUUGGAACUCACUGGACUUUGGACAAAGAUUGAUUUAAAAGCUGAUGUAUUUAACAGGGACGUGUGGUCUGAGUUCAAGUGACCUCUGUCCUGCUCCCGGCCAGCUGGCAGGGUCCUAAGCUUGAAAUGCUCAAGAGGCCUCAGUAAAAUCAAGCCCCGCCCCCACCCCAGCCUAACAAUGGGAAGGGUAGUAGAGAAAGGUGGGGAGGGGGUGCCUCGGCCUCUCCAGUUCUAUCUAAUAAACAGAAGACUGGGUCACACCCAACCAAUCCCC